CAUGCUUCCACAGAUACCCUGCUGUGUUGGUCAGGUGGUGUUUUAGGGAGCACUUUCAGUAUGUCUCAGGUCC
rnacentral:sRNA from 1 species